rnacentral:lncRNA from 1 species
GUCGUUUCCCUUAUUGUUUGACGUCCACGAAAAUUUUUAACUCGCUCACGUCAGGCCACGCCAUCCUGGCUAGUACAGCCGGAAGUUUUUAUCAGGAUUUGGUAGGUACAAAGUGCCGGUUGUACUAGCCAGGAUGGCGUGAUUGAUGACGAAUCGUUUGUAAAAACGCGGACAAAUAUUUGCUCGAGUUACGCUUCUGGUAUAACUUCCUAUUCUGUGGUUUGGAGAAGACAAGAUGGCGCUGGUUACAUCGUGUUAUAUCAAACGGCAUUUUUGUUCACAAAUACCCGCUUAUUUUACGUUAUAGCGACUGGUUCGUUUUGGAAAUUGUAACUCAAUGGACGGGGAAAAUGAUUCUGUAUUAAAGAGAAAAUGAUGUGCAGUUAUUGUGAUGUUAUUUGUUGUGAAAGACGGCCCGAAAUUUCGCUACUUCGCAGUACUGGUUUACAAAACAUUUACAAGCAACAGCAAUUGAACUAUAUGACAAAGAAACCAAUGUAUACAAGCCAAUCAAGUUCUUCAGUUUAAAGGUCUGUUUACUUUUUAAUAAUUAGUUCACUUAGUUGUACAUUAAUACGAAGUACUGGAACAGUACGCCUAGUCACAGAAUAGGAAGGUAUACCCACAAUCUCGUUCCCCGAGCCUGCGAUCCUUGGGAAGGAACGCGAGGCUCUGGGAUAAUCCGUUUCAGGGAGGAAUCCGAUUGGCCGUUGAAAUGGAAUGCGUAGUUCAAUCUUAGCCAGGAUUCCUGGCUCCCGGCAACGGAUUAUCCCAGAGCCUUUGGUUCCUUCCCAAGGAUCGCAGACUCAGGGAACGAGAUUGGGUAUACCCAUUGAACUAAAAAUAACUGGAACGAUACCUCCAGCCGGAAAUGUGAAGCCAUGCCCAGGCAUGCCCACUGUUGUCAUGCCCAGUCUUUUCACGUAACGGAAAUGAACGCGGGUUUUUUAAAUUUCCAAAACUGGGUAAAAAAAUGCACUAAAACAUGAUUUAAAACGACGUAAAAUGUAAGGUAAAAUGCACCUACCAGUACAUUUUCUACAAUAAAAACAUCCUUCAAAACUCUAGAGUAAAAUAUUUUUAAUUUAUUUGUGUAGAAUUCAUAAUUAAAUUUCCUUUUUUGAAAAAAAAACGUUGAGCGAGGAGUGGAGCUUGCUGUGGUCUAAUCAUAAGUAUUUGUGUGAAUUUCCCUAUUUUGCUCAUUCGUUUUCCAAUUUAUUCGUCUGAAAGUUAGGAAAAAACUACCAACCACAGUUUAAUUAUGUUUUGUAGUAGAGUGUUUUAAAGGUACAAAAUAACAAGUAUAAACAUUAAAGACAUUAAGAAAGUUUUUUUGCGGACAAGUAUUUCAUGUCGCGAUUAUUCACAUUCGGCAAGAAAUACACAGAACAAGUCGUCAACGAAGGCAAACAAAGUGAUAGAUACAGAUUUUUAUCUUUCUCAAGUUUCAUCUGCAUAUAAACGUUCUUGCAAUUUUAGUCGGUAGGGUUCAAGAUAUGUUUUAAAUACACUUUUAAUACAAAAAUAUAGCUUAAAACCCUAAAUAAACGACAAUUUUCAAUUCAUUUGUUUGAGAAAAAACAUUCAGUCACUUCGCCGUAAUGGUCUCGCGAGAAUGUCUCGCAACACAAACGCGCGUGUCUGGAGGUAGAACACGCACGGCUGGAGGUAAAAUUUGGCUUCAUCCGAUCAUAAGCCAAUCCUAUUGGAGGUAGCGUUCCAGGUAUUUUUAGUUCACUGGGUAUACCAGAAGCGUAACUCAAGCAAGUAUUUGUCUGCAUUUUUACAAGCGAUUCGUCAUCAAUCACGCCAUCCUGGCUAGUACAACCGGCACUUUGUACCUACCAAAACCAGUGAACUCUCUCUAUAUAUAUAUAUCUGGAAAGAUAACAGCGAGCGAAAAGUGAAGCCGACAAAAAAAAUCACGACAUAAGUAUUCGUCAUUGUCUUCGUCAUCAACUGUUCAAGAACAAUCACUUACAUAUAAAAUUUGUAAUUGUUUUGAAAGUUUUCAUCACAGUUUUUACAUCUUUAUUCACUUUUAACCUGAAGAUGGAGUUAUACUCCGAAACGUAGUUAUUAAAAUAAUUUUUUACUAAGCCCAUAUGGUCUAAUUUAUAUUCAAACACACAUACAUAUUCAUUUACAUUUUGCUGGCAGGCAAAUUCCGAUCACACAAUAAAUUCUUUAAAAAAUAACUAUAAAACUGGUAAACUAAAAAACAAUUCAAACAAUCGCGAAAAAUGGCAAAGUCACAGUUGCAAGUCAAUUUACCUACCUGUGAAAUGAAAUUUUCCUCGCAAGAAUAUCUCUUUCCUUGUGCAUCCAGAACGACACAAUAUAUUUGAAAAAGGCUAUUCUUUUCUCCACACGGGGAAGUUUUCCUCGACUUUUUUCUGACAGCGAACUCAAUGCAGUAAAUUUUAGGAGCAAAACAGUUUGCUCCUAAAAUGUAUUGCAUUGAAUUGGCCAUGUUUUUAAUUUUUUUUUUGUGAUUGCGUUCAAAUUUAUACUGGCCGUGCAACCAUAGACGGAUUUUCAUAUUUAUUACUGGGGUGGUGCCAGAAAUUUUAGGGGGGUGAUCCGUGUCACCAAACCCCAGUAAGGUCUGGGUCAAAAAGUGUCACCAAACCCCAGUAAGGUCUAUAUUCUAGGGGUGGAGCACUAGAGCCGCGAGGGGGAGUCUAGAGAGAAGAAAACAAAGUAUCCCAGGAAAAAUUAGAAAAAAUCAUUAUUUCUAGCUUCGAAAAAAAGUUUUUUGAAGUGUCAAUUUGUCAUAUAAAUGGAUUUGGCAUGUCCUAUUGUCUGUUAAGACUUGAGAGAGUUAAAGACUUAAAGUUAAAUGAACCUAUAAAAGUGUAAACCCAAUAGGCCAAUACACAAUAUGCUUUUACUUUUAUAAAGUCCUUGACAUUGUGUUGUUUGAAUGCGAGUACAAUUUAUGAUGCAACUCCGACGUAAAUAAUAUUUGGGGCGUAAAAAUUAAAUCUAGGCAAGCCUAUUUCCUAAAAGAAUUAAAAAAUAAAAAUACGUGCAAUGCACUGCAAACUCUAUUCAGGGGAGAUAAUAGAGUUUCAAAACUUUACAAUUGCUCCAAUAAACCAUACCCCCCAUGCUGUCCGAAGGGUGAGUGAGGAAAAAUGUCUUAGGAUGUCCGAAGGGGGGGGGAGGGGGGGGAGGAAAUGCGGAUAUAAGAUUGUCCGAAGGUUUUAGACAGUGAUAAAGCUAUGUGAUCGGCGAUUAUAAUGAGCACGCAAUUUUUAUCGGCUAUAGCCCUUAAAAACUGGAACGUUUAUGUAACAGCAAUAAUUAUACGUCCACGUAACUCGUAAGCAAAAUAGCGGCCCACUUUUGCAUGCAUGGCCACCAAAAACUAACUCGCUGUAACAGUGUAUCCUGCAUGUUGAGAAUGAGUCGAAAAUUUACACACUUUAUUUAUAUAAAAGUAAAGUUUUGCAGUUUUUGUAUGUAUAAGUUUGAAUUAUUCAAGUGUUAAAAAUAAUAGUUAUUAAACUGUUGCUUGAAUUAAGAGACUGCUAUGUGAACUAAACUCAAUAUUUAGAAUAUUUAGUUUCAGUAUAUAGUCAAUAAAGCUUCCUUGCGAGGUGUGUGCCUAGAAAAUAGAAAUGGCUGUCAUAUUAAGGGCGAGGUUAAGGAAUGCAGUAAUACUAAAAAAUGCACUAACAUGUAAGUAAACACAGCAACGCUUCUCAAUCAGUCGCAAGUUACAUUGAAUUUCAGUCCGAAUCUUACUUGAUCGAAUUUCAAAGUGAAUUUCUGCAAAUUAUCCACCAAAAUCUGCCAUGUGUUUGUGUUCACAAGAAGCCGCCAAGUGUUCCACGCCGGAGCUAUUUGACAACAAUGUAGAAAAGUCACAAUAAGCCAUCGCUUUCACACUACGCUGGAGCGAAAUAGUUUGAAAACUUUCACAACGCCUUUGCCAAAAACUGUUUUAUAUUACUACUUUACACAAUGUAAUAAUUGGAUGCUAUACUUCAGUUCUUGUAUGAUAGUGCUUAUAAAUAAUUAUUAAUAUCGAACUAAUAAUCAUUAGUUCGAUAUUAAUAAUUAUUUAUAAGCACUAUAUCAUACAAGAAAUGUCAAGAAUGAAUUUUCCUUCAAUGGUGGUUUUUUAUCCGUCAAAAGUUUAAUAUAGUUUUGACGAGAGAAAUGUUUCUCAACAAUUUUCAGAAAGUUUUACAAGAUUUUGGGGCUUGUUUUGAAUUGGGCUAUUCCAUUUAAAAGACGUAACCCCCCCCUAUCAAGGACAAUGGUUUUACCAUAUCUCUGAAGAAUUCUUGACAUAAAAGAGAUCCCCUGAAGAAUUCCUGUUACCCCUGAAGAAUUACAAUUUUUACAUCUGACCCCUAAAGGAAUUGCAUUUGAAAUAACCAACCCCUGAAGAAUUCCACAGGAGAAUUUGUUUACCCAUGAGGAAUUCCGGAGUUAAAAAGGGAGAUUAUGGAUAUUAAAUGGAAUAGCCAAUUUUCUGGAAAAUUUAGCCAAAAAUAGUUUUGUUUGUGGAAACACCACAUAAAUUUAUUACUGCAAAGCUUUCGAUCCGUAAGCCCGGAUCUUCAUCAGUGCUAAUAUGUGACUUGUUUAAUUCACACGCCCUUUUUAUAUACAAAAAAUGUCUUGAUCUGUUGGCUCACAUAUUAUUAGCACUGAUGAAGAUUCGGGCUUACAGAUCGAAAGCUUGGCAGUAAUAAAUUUACGUGGUGUUUCCACAAACAAAACUAUUAUAUGUUUUAUCGCCAUGCAAACAUACAAAGAACUUAUUGUGGGACAACUUUUUUACUGAAGUUAUACAUCUGUCUUCACUUAAUCUGUGGCUCAGCUGGCUAGACCUUGAUUCUUGCCUGUGGUAUUUGACUCAAAUGUUUUGGUCAUUUUAUAUUUGCCAAUAUAAAUCUUUUUGGCAUAGAAAUUAUACAUUUGGAAUAAUAAUUUUGUAUGCUGCAUUCAAUCUAUUCUCCAUUCAGGGAGAUUCUUUUACCCACACCAAUCAGAAGUCUGUAUUUUUAUGCUAAGACAGAAAUUGGCAUCCCAGAGAGUAAAUUAUAUUCAAGUUUAGGGCAUGUUGCAGCUCUAUAUCUUGCCGUUGCAAGUUGCUUUGCGUUUGAUGUUUGUUCUGGGAUAAAAUAUUGAAUUAUACCUUAAAUUAAUGUUUUGUGAAAUUUAGUUUAAAUAAUUUAGUAGAGAGAUGAGUGCAUAAAGCAUAGGGAUUUUGAAGCUAAAUAUGUUAUAAAAUUUGUCGUUUUAGUGAAUGCAUUCUUUUCUGCUCGUCCUGGUUGUUGCAAGGAGACAUCAGGCAUUGUAAUGGAUGGAUGACGAUGUGUCGCUGGCAAACCUACACCGUGUGCAUUUUCUUGGUGGAUAUCUUGGGCAAAUGUGCAAUAUGACGAGGGAUAUCUUGGGCAAAUAUCUUAUAUAAAUUGGUACGAUUGGUUACCUUAAAUUACUAAAGAAGGAUGAUGUUGUAAGGUUAGUGGAUAU